CUGCAAGCAUUACAGAAAAGCGAAAAUCACUAAGCCUCUAAACAUCCCUAAUAGCUGGCACCAGGCUGUUUGCUUCAUCCCCAACCUAUGCAUAUGUAUGUUCUACCUUUGUGACACAGGAUGCAAAGUAGGUAAUACUGGGAACAGGCAUCUCCAAGGAGGUUGCUGUGUACUGGACAUUGCAGGAGGAUGGACUUGAGCUAGGCUUUAGCCACAGGCUGGUUUCUAGUCCUUCAGUGGUUCUCCACCCUCCUCACUCCAUAUAGUUCAGUGCAGUUUAAAGAGAAUGGAACAGGUUGGUCUUUACCAGGUUAUGCUUGAGCUGACUGCUUCAAGAGGAGCAAGCACAUGAGAGAGACAGGAAAUGUAGCACCUGCUACAAUACCCAGAAAAAGAAGCCACAUUUUUUGUGAGCCUGAUAGUCUCCUGCACCUUAUGAGAAAAGCUACAUCACACUGCUAUGAAAAAAAAUGGCUUAGAGAGGUGUGGAACCAUCCUACACAUGAAGAAUAUUUUUUACAUCUUCACUGGGGCCAGCACUCUGUCUGGCAGUGCCCAUAGUGAAUACCUAGCAUGAGCUGGACAUGUGGAGCAGAGCCUGAUCUGUCUGAAGCUCAGAGUACUCAUGCCUACCUCCCUACUUUGUUGCAGUAUUGCUAUGGCAACCAGCUUCUAUAAAAAGAU
rnacentral:lncRNA from 1 species